rnacentral:rRNA from 1 species
CGCCCCUUGUAGAAAGUGAAAUGAGGGGUCCUGCCUGCCCAGUGACUCAAGUUAAACGGCCGCGGUAUCUUGACCGUGCAAAGGUAGCAUAAUCACUUGUCUCCUAAAUAGAGACUGGUAUGAAUGGCAAGACGGAGCUAAACUGUCUCUUUUUUUAUCCCCAAAAUUUACUAUCACGUGAAGAGGCGUGAAUAAAAUCGUUAGACGAGAAGACCCUGUCGAGCUUAAAGCAAAAAGCAAGGCUAAUCUCAGGAGUUUUUAACUACUAACUUACAAAUUUACAGCAAUAAAACUUUUAAGUUCUUGCAAAAGUUUUGGUUGGGGCAACCGCGGAAAAAGAGAAUCUUCCGCUAAAAAGUUAAUUAAAACAAGGAAAACUAUCCUAUUAUCAAAAAUGAAUGAGCGAUCCACUUAGGUGAUCAAAGGAACAAGUUACCGCAGGGAUAACAGCGUUAUCUUUUUUGAGAGUUCACAUUGACAAAAAGGUUUGCGACCUCGAUGUUGGAUCGGGACAUCCUAAGGGUGCAGAAGCUCUUAAGGGUUGGUCUGUUCGACCAUUAAAGUCCUACGUGAUCUGAGUUCAGACCGGCGAAAGC